AUGUUAUCACCAUUCCGUUCCGUUUUCAAUUUCAAUCGACGGUUGACAUGGUGAAUCAGACUUGUGAAGAACAGUUACAUCCCUAACGUUUCAGAUUUGACGAAGCAGAGAAGCGGAUCCGAGAGGAUGUCCAAAGAUUCAGAGCGAAGGUUGAAGGUGCUGAGAUGUUGUUGAUGUUGAUGAAGAACGUUGGAUGCAGAUGAUUCUUGAAGGUGAGUUGAAGAUGUAUCGAUGAAGAGAUUGAAGAUUCUGUUAUGAGUGUGGAAGGUCGAAGGGAUUGAAGAUGUUGAAGUUGUCAAGAGUGAGGAUGAAGAUGAGGAUUUCUGGAGAAAAUGGGGGUUG